rnacentral:rRNA from 1 species
UGCGGAGGGUGCGAGCGUUGUUCGGAAUCACUGGGCGUAAAGCGCGUGUAGGCGGCCUUGUAAGUCUGGUGUGAAAGCCCGGGGCUUACCCCCGGAAGUGCACUGGAGACUGCAAGGCUUGAGUACCGGAGAGGAAAGUGGAAUUCCUGGUGUAGCGGUGGAAUGCGCAGAUAUCAGGAGGAACACCUAUAGCGAAGGCAGCUUGCUGGGACGUUACUGACGCUAAGGCGCGAAAGCUAGGGGAGCAAACGGG